AUUGAGUACGGUGAGUGUAGAGAUAAAAUUUUUUGAUACCACUUAGGAACUGGUAACAGCGAAGGCUACCUUCAAUGUAAAAAACUGACGUUAAGGGACGAAGGCUUGUAACAAAUAAUAGGAUUAGAUACCCUAGUAUUUUGAGCAGAAAAUGAUGAGUGUCAUAUACAAGAUAAAUGUUUUGUGUAUAAAUGAAAGUGUAAGCACUCCACCUCAAGAGUAACGUGGCAACAUGGGAACUGAAAUCAUUAGACCGUUUCUGAAACUCGUAGUGAAGUAUGUUGUUUAAUUUGAUGGUCCUCAAAUAACCUUACCACAAUUUGUAUAACUAUUGUACGAUAGUUACAAGCGUUGCACGGCUGUCUUCAGUCAAUGUUGUGAAACUUUGGUUAGAUCCAUUUAAUUGACGUAAACCCUUACUUUAAUUAUUUUAAAGUAGUUCGCCGCUAUAUUGGUAGUGAUAUAAGGGACUAGGACAAGUCAUCAU
rnacentral:rRNA from 3 species